rnacentral:lncRNA from 1 species
GUUCUGUAGCUCUGGGAUGGAGAACGCGUCCCACUGCAGGAACAGCAAAGCAGAGGCAAACAAGGCACGAGCAGCCCAUUCAGCUGAUAAGUUUGGGGAACAGCUGGAAUCAAGCAACACUUUAGGAGGUAAAACCAACAGCGUUAGAAGGGGGAGAAGCCUGGCUCAUGCCUGCUGGGCAUCUGCAGGUCCAUCCCAUUGCCAAACACUACGUGGUCAUGCACUAACCAAGGGAAGGAGCCCCAGACGUACCUCCACUUCCCCGGUCUCGUUCUCCUUCAGCACAAAGCUGAGCACGUCGGUGUCGGGGCCGGCCAGCAGCCGCAGACUCACCCUGCCCAUCCUUCCUCAUCUCCUUGAACAGCGCGAACUUCUGUGGGUUAUCCACCACCAUGAACUUCUUCAGCAGCCCCUGGAUCACCUCGCUCACCGUGGUCGUGCUGCUGAUGUGCAGCUGCUUGAUGGCAUCCAGAGGCAGGUAGAAGGAUGUCCUCCUAUCCGUGGUGUCCGCCAGGUUCACCUCCUUGAGGGCAUCGUAGAUGGACUGCGGUCGGAUCCCCGCCGGCACCGUCACCGGGCGGCGCAGCUUCAGGUGCACCUUAAUGAAGCCGGUGUAGGUGCCAUCAUCACUCUGCACAAUGA